rnacentral:rRNA from 1 species
AUUGAACGCUGGCGGCAGGCCUAACACAUGCAAGUCGAGCGGAUGAAGGGAGCUUGCGCCUGGAUUCAGCGGCGGACGGGUGAGUAAUGCCUAGGAAGCUGCCUGGUAGUGGGGGAUAACGUCCGGAAACGGGCGCUAAUACCGCAUACGUCCUGAGGGAGAAAGUGGGGGAUCUUCGGACCUCACGCUAUCAGAUGAGCCUAGGUCGGAUUAGCUAGUUGGUGGGGUAAAGGCCUACCAAGGCGACGAUCCGUAACUGGUCUGAGAGGAUGAUCAGUCACACUGGAACUGAGACACGGUCCAGACUCCUACGGGAGGCAGCAGUGGGGAAUCUUGGACAAUGGGCGAAAGCCUGAUCCAGCCAUGCCGCGUGUGUGAAGAAGGUCUUCGGAUUGUAAAGCACUUUAAGUUGGGAGGAAGGGCAGUAAGUUAAUCCCUUGCUGUUUUGACGUUACCAACAGAAUAAGCACCGGCUAACUUCGUG